AAAGGUUGACCUCGGAUCAGGUAGGAAUACCCGCUGAACUUAAGCAUAUCAAUAAGCGGAGGAA
rnacentral:rRNA from 2 species